GUCUCUGAGAGGAUUAAUGAGGAGAGGACCCCUCGGUCACUGUUUACUGUCUGCACCGAGAAACGACCAGAAGAGCCAGAUGACAAGAUCAUGUCCCCAAAUGUCCACACCUGAGAAGGAAGAGACAACUAGGUGUAAGCUUUAUUAAGGGAAAUAUGCUAGAAUACAAGUAGGAAAUGAAGAUCAUUCCAAGGAGAGAUUGUAGGAGGUAUGUAUAUUUCUAUAUUUUUGAAGGAAAAUAUGUGACUGUGUAUUGUUUACCUCUUACUUGUUUAUGAAAAUGUAUCAUGCAGUGUCACGUUUACAAUAUUUAGGAGGCUGAUUGCUGUUAGACUGUACUGAAUGAAAAUAUCUUAUUUAACAGACACUUCACAUCUAAAACACCCAAAUGGAGACCAAAAUACAUGGCCACAACAACAA